AUGAUUUAAGUUUUCAAUUCACGUUCUAUUUUAAAAAUCUGCACACACUGUUUCAAAUAUCAAGCAUUUUCAUUGGCUGUUAGUUAAUUGGGAGAAGCGUACCUUCACAUUGAAUUUGGAUAAUCCAAAAACGGUGCACCAGUUACAUGCUGAUACAUCUAUCUCAUCCGAAGCAGCUCAAUGCAUUUAUCUUGGAGGUGCAGCUUUGCAAUUGGGUUAUUCUUCACCCGCUGCCACGUCCACGGGAAGAAGAAUUCCAAAGAAUUUUUAUUUUUUUUUUAUUUUUUUUUUAAAUUAGCAACUUAAUUUUUAAUUGAUGCAUUUUAUUUAUUUAUUUAUUUUUUUGUCUGUUUCAUUUUUACAUUUGAAUGUUUUAGUGUUGCAUUUUAAUAGUUUUAACUGUGCUUAGAUAUUUGUUUGUUCUAGUAUUGGGUUUAGCAUUUUC
rnacentral:lncRNA from 1 species